UUAUUUUUAGAUUCUCCAUAGACAUUAAGUUUUCUUCUUGUUGUUGGUUUUUUUUUGGAUUCUCCAUAGGAAAUUAUGAGAAAUCAUGCCUAAAACAUUUAAAAGCAUUUGUUGGAGCCCACCUAAGUUUUGAAAUAGCCUAAAAUCUGUUGUGACCCCUUAUCUAAGUCACAAUGAAUGGCCUAGAUGUAUAAACCACAUCUCGUUGGGUCCGCUAUACAAAAAAGAAAAAGAAAAAGAAGGUUUCAAUGGAUGUGCAUCCACUCUUAACCAUUGUUUAUGUUGUUGCUCACCUAAGUUGUGGAUUGGCCUCAUUUUUAAGCCCAUGGCUCACCAUGAAAGGGUAUAUCUAAUUCAUGGGAUAGAUGUCUUCAAAUUUUGAGGAUGUGUUGCAAGAAGAAAACCUUUACUUGAUUAUUGAGGUGACACUAGCACACUUCCUCUUCUCUGCCAUUAUUAUAUUAUGUCAAGCUCACCAAAGAUCGACAAAAGAAACUAGUCCUUUGCAAACAAUGGUAUAAAA